CCCAGGACCUCUCCACAUGAUUGAAGUUCUAAUCAGUCAAUCUGUCUUUCAGACACAGCUGCUUUCCAGGAAUUCUUGUUCACACACCAUGUAUUAAAGCUGUGGUGCCCAGCUUACUGCUUUUUGAAGAGGAUGUAAACUAUAAGAGAGGCCGGGAUAGCUGUGGGCAGUGAACAUGACUGCUGGUGACUGUGUGAGUUGAUACUAUAAUUCACAGGACUGUCACCCUUACUUUCACCUUUAACUACGACCCCACUACUUCAACUCUUCAACUUUCACAGUGGUGUGAAGAAGUGCUCUCUUGUGAUCAUGAUACUCUACCCAAGCAGGUCAUGCUACAGGAAGGACUCUGCCUGCCUGCGAACUCAGCAAGACUUCUCCUGCCAAAUCCCCUCAUGGUGUUACUUCUUCCUCGUUAACCUACCAGGGCAAUUUUACAUUGACUUAUGAGCUUCCCUGGUGGAUAACAGCAUUUCCCACCAGAAUCCAGGCUUAAUGAGGAGGGGACCAUGUUCAAUUUUACCCAUGGAGAGACUUAUGGUGCCGAUCACCAUGCUGAGCACAUAUUAACACUUAAUAAA
rnacentral:lncRNA from 1 species